rnacentral:lncRNA from 1 species
AGUCCACCCGAUGACAAUCUUACCACAAAACAGUCCCAUACCAGCCAAUCCCCUCUCUCAGCCAAGGCCAGAACAAUUCAUCACCCUGGUUCAAAAGCAUGUAUUUAAUGCCUUCCAAUGACCCAGCCAGCCCUCAAGAGAUUACACCAGAAGACAGAAAAUGAUUUAGAAGCUGCAUUUCCUUCACAUAUAAGACUAUGCAGUAGGAGAAAGACCUCAGUCUUGGAAGAUGUGAGCCUGGAGCUCAUGCACCAUCCCACACCAUGAGAGGAAAGCCUGCCUGAGAAAGGAGCCUACACAAAGGAUGCAAAGCAGAGAGACACAGGAAGAAGCCAGUUCUAUCACUUGCGCUGCUGGAUCAAGCCACGCCUAAAGAUGUCUCUAUCCCUGGACUUUCCAGUUAAGCCUAUUUGGAUGGCUUUCUCUCGAAGGCAACUCAGAGUCCUAAUAGAGAUAUUUCCAAUGCCACUGAUUUCCAGAUAUUACCACUUAUGCUCAAAAACUAUCAAUGGUUUCCUACUGCCUAUAGGAUAAAGUUGAAAUUCCUUAGCCUGGCACCAAGACCAUCCACAAGAUGGCCUCAAGUUACUUCCCCACCUUUAUUUUGAAUUGCUAUCUUAAAUGUAACCCUUCUUCUGUCAAGCUGUACACUCUGUCUCCUGAAUAUUCACCUUUGAAAAACAGUCUUGUUUUUCUAAGAAAUAUCGUCUCACCCACCGCAGGCCCCAGUGAUCUCUCUUCUCUGAAUUUCCAUCACAGCCACUGUCUUGAGCUUUUCUCUGACACUCAUCAUAAGCUACCUAACUGCUCUCAUUCUUUAACCAUUAUUUAAUGGGCAUUAGAGGUACUGAGGAGACGUGACAUCUGUCCUCAAGAAACUUGCAGACUAAUAGGCGAAUCAAUGACCAAAUAUUUAUGCAAAGAGUAUUACAUAGUUAAGAUAAGCAGUAAGAAAAAUAAAAGGCCAAGUUUUCAUCAGAAGGCAUUCGUCAGAAGCGGCCUGAUCUUUUGUACCUAAAAAUAAGACCAUAAGCCCCUCAGCUGACUGAACGGAACCCCUCUUGGCCACGUGGUCCCCAGAGAAACCUUAAAAACUGCGUUCCCAGCCAUGGCCCGAUGGAAGGUCAGACAUGCCUCAUUAUACCUCCUUCCUUUUGCAGUUUAGACACAACAAGGCACCAGCACUAAUAUGAAAAUAGAGAUCAUACAACUGACAGAAUGGACCCUUUGUAGCAAUAAGAUACUAAACUAUAAACAGGACCUAAGGCCACACCGGGCAAGGGUUAAGUCAUAUAUCCUACGCUCAAAGGAUAAACUCUGUUCUAGCUGCCACAAGAUUUUUCUUUUCCUCCAGAAGCUAAACAAGUGCUGGCCUGGAGAUAAGCAAUACUGAAACAAUGGCAGCUCAUCCACUGCCAGAUGCUGACCCACUGACCCCCUGCUCCACAAGCCGUAACUACAGCUUUGAUUGGACAGGAAACUGAUUUCAAUAACUUUCUGCUGGUAAGAAAACCACCGACCAUGCACUGGCUCUGGCCGGUUCACAGAGGCUACGCACUUGAGUGCCUUUGCAUCCUGAAAAGACCUUUUGACAUAUAGGGCCUAACUGUAAUAUAUUUAAAUGUUAAGUCUUCACCCCAAAGUGAACAUGGGUUGUAUGUAACAUGCAUGUUUAUUCAGUAUGCGGGUGUUAGGACCGCCUUCGUGAAUAUUCAUAGCUCCUCCUGUAACCUGUUGAGUAUGUAUAUUUGGCCAACCCAUUAAGCUUAUGCUCUUAUCUUACCCCUUUCUCCCUCAAAGUGCCUGCCUUUUGGGCUCUGUCAGAGGCUAUGCUUCCCAGCCUGUCAGGACAGCCACUGUGCAUGCUGUAACCCUUUAUAGAAAAUAAAAUCUCCUUUCGAAAUUUAUAAA